UUAGUCCAAGGUCUUUUAGUUACUAGGAAUAGAUGUGAGAAGAAGCAAAGCGUUCUCUCCUUUUCCUGGACUUAGAGUUGCUGCGGGGCCCCCUGUAAUAGGCUGAGUUAGCUUUCGGUGCGCUGUCAUUGCCCCUUCUGCACUUUUCUCCUUCCAGAGUCCCCUUCUCCAUGCACCUACUGUUCCCCUGUUCAUCCGCGCCCCUAGGGGAACUCCGAGCGCCAGGGAUGUUUUACCCGGUGUACUUCCGGCCUGGCGUACUUAAAGCUCUAUGUACGUACUUCCGGCCGGGGCAGUGGCUCAUGCCCGUAAUCCUAGCACUUUGGGAGGCAGAGGGUGGUAGAUUGCCUGAGCUCAGGAGUUUGAGACCAGCCUGGGCAACAAAGUGAAACCCUGCUCCUACUAAAAUACAAAAAAUUAGCCAGGUGUGGCAGCGUGUGCCUGUAAUCCCAGCACUCUGGAGGCUGAAGCAGGAGAAUCGCUUGAACCCGCGAGGCCAAAGAGCCGAGAUUGCGCCACUGCACUCCAGCCUGGUGACAGAGCGAGACUUUCUCUCCAAAAACAAAACAAAACAAACAACUCUACAUACUUCCAAAUUACUCACCUUUAUGGCCACCCCAUCAGAAUUUUUAGUCUCUCAGAGCAGCUCUUCUCAGCUAGGUUGCAAGAGAGUAACUAUCUGAUGACAUUUUUACUAGAGUGUGACAGACCAUUCACCUGUCAGAAGUCUCAGAAUCUUAAGAGGAUACUUCUUAAUCCAAGUUAAUGGUUGUGAAUCUGUUCUCCACAUGGACUGUGAGGUCCUUGAAGGCAGUGACCGCAGUGCCUGGGAUGGAGCCUUGGUAAGUGGAGUGAAGACAGACAGGUCUGGGAAUGAAGCCCAGCUCUGCCCUUACCAGCUUCCGGUAUGGCAAAAGGGGGAACUAUUUCUCCUGGAACGGAGUGGACAAAUGUGCAGCAGGUGAGCAGAAUCAUUUUGCUUUCCAGCUGUUGCACAAGCUGUAUCAUGCUGACAGUGGCCUCCACCUGUCUAACUUCCUGCUUCCACCAAUUCAGAACCAAGAUAUUUUUAUACUCAUAACAUGGUAUAAACCAAGUGCUGAUGGAAGUUCUUUGAUGCUGAAUUUGGAAUCAAAUACAUUCUACUUUCUGAAAAUCCAUAUACUAGGUGGCUACUUCGAUAGCAACAGACACAAGAUGUAAAAUGCAGCAAUGGUCAAGGACUUUCUCAGGGGAGGAAUCAGUCCUCUCAUUUUGAUUGAGGAACCUUGGAUACAGGGAGGAUGAGGGACUAACUCAAAGUCAUCUGGCAACUUAGAGGUGAAGCCAGAGCUCCUCAAAUCUCCUAGCUCUGAAUCCGUCCUCUUUUUAUUGAGCCAGUCAUGACGUAACCCCCCAAAUGAGUGCAGCUUUUAAUCUCCCACAUCAAGGGGCCUGCUGGCUGGCUACUCAUGGAUGCACCUCACGGUGGUUUCUGGGUGGUUGAUGCUCGACACCCUCUAACUUCAUUUCUUUUUUCCUUUGCAAAAUGGCUAUUGCCCAGAGGCAGCAUCUCUUUUCUAAAAAGUGAACAUGCCAGAAGGGUUUUUGGAAACUGCCUUGCUAUCUGUCAGGAGCCAGAUGAUUCACAGGGAUGAACCAAUGCUCAUAACAAGGGUACCUGGUUGGAUUACCAAUUAGCCACCUCCACCUCGGCAGGGUGGUUGGAAAGAAGAGAAAGGCAGUGUUUAGUUUGGGCAAAUAUCAAGAGGACUUAUCAUUCUCAUCAAGGCAUCAGCGCGGCACAUCAGACCUCUUCCAGGCCAUUCCAUUGGAACUUCUCUCUCCAAAUGCUCCAGCAAGAGUAAACUUGUUAUGCAAACAUUGGAUCAUUGUAUCUGAGUGACAGAAGCACCUCUGUGUCGGUGAAAGGGGAAAAACUGGCUGACUCACGUCUGUUUUUAAUGAUAUCUCUGCUGCUGGGAAAAUUUGGAAGCUGCAGGUAACAUCUUCUCCUUUGGGGAAAAAAACCAAAAAAACAAAAAACGAAAAAAAAACCAAGGCUACCCUGGAAUGUGUUAGCUUACCUUUACCGGAUGGAAACACCUUGGUCUGGGUAGGCCCUGGGAGGGAUAUGCAGACUUUUUCUCCAUCUGGACCCAGCAAGAAGUGUCCUAGUGUGGGGUUGCUGGAAUCUUCUUGAAAAUAAGCACAAGCAUAGGCGCCGUCAGCAGCGUGCUGGUGAGGGAGACAAACUGAACCUAGGCUGUUCCCCUAGUCCCCUGCAGGCACACACCCAUAGAUGCCUGUGUGCUUGGGUGCCCACCAGAGUAUAGGGUGAGCCCUACUCCUGGGACUCAGCAGAAGUGGGGCUAUUGUUCAGGCCCUGGCUUCCAAGGGUCAAGGUGGGGUGAACAGGGAGGGGCUGCCACUUGCCUACAUCAUGCCUUUGGGAGAGCCCGGCUAUCUCAGGGGCUGGGCUCAGUGAGGGGGGCACUCCGUGUGAAGGAAAAGGAACCCCUUUCUCCAGCUGUAUACAGUCCAGCCCCUGGGCACAGGGCUUCCUGCUUCCUGCCUCUACUGUCCUGUUCAGUACUCAGCAUACAUGGCCAUAUCCUCUAGAUGAAAUACUGGGAUGGCUUGGUGAUGCCAGAGGCUCAGGUCAAGGAGGAGGAUACUGUGUCUCCCUAGUUACUUAGAAAGAUUGAAGGUAUUUUUAUAACCUGACUAUAAAAGUAAAAAGUCAUGGCCAGGCGCAGUGGCUCAUGCCUGUAAUCCCAGCACUUUGGGAGGCCGAGAUGGGCAAAUCAUCUGAGGUCAGGAGUUCGAGACCAGCCUGACCAACAUGGAGAAAUCCUGUCUCUACUAAAAAUACCAAAAAAAUUAGUCCAGCUACUUCGAGGCUGAGGCAGGAGAAUUGCUUGAACCCAGGAGGCAGAGGUUGUGGUGAGCCAAGAUCGCACCAUUACAGUCCAGCCUGGGCAACAAGAGUGAAACUCUGUCUCAAAAAAAAACACCAAGUAAUUUUUCCCCAACUCUAAUUCCAAUUCUCAACCCAGAACAUUCCUGGUACUAGAUUGUGGGGGUUCCCCCAUGCCAAGCAAUUCUCCUGCAGAUGCCAACUGGUUGUCCUAUAAUUUAAUUCAGUUCUGACACUCUACCUGGAGAUGGUGUCAGAUUCCACAGGGCAGGGCUCAGUCCACAAGACUGCCCCCGACUUCAGGUGCCAAUUGCAAGUCCCAGAUUGUGACCUGGACUUCUGACCAACCAGCUAUAAAUUGGGCCUCCCACAAUCAUCCCUUUCCUUGGGUUCAACAAUUUGGUAGAACAGCUCACAGAAUAAGGGAAACACUUAACUUACAUUUUCUGGCUUAUUUAUUUAUUUAUUUUUAAAGAGACAGGGUUUCACCUUGUUGGCCAGGCUAGUCUCGAACUCCUGGCCUCAAGUGAUCUACCUGCCUCGGCCUCCCAAAGUGCUGGGAUUACAGGCGUGAGCCACCAUGCCUGGCCUUUUCUGGCUUAUUUUUAAAGGACAUUAGAAAGGAUAUAGUGAACAGCCAGAUGAAGAGAUGGGCGAGGCGUGGGGAGGAUGUGCAGGGAUUCGUGCCCUCCCUGGGCCUGCUGCCCUCGAAGCACCUAGACGUGCUCAGCAGAAGCUUAUCAACUCAGGUUCAACAGCUAAUAAAGAGCUUGAUCUCCAGUGCCCCCUCCCCUUUCCUGGAGGUUGUGGCUAGAAGCUCCAGUCUUCUAAUCCUCUUAUCACUUGGUCCUUCUGGUCACUGGCCCCAUCAGAAGGCUACCUACAGGUCUUACCCUAUGUCACCUCAUUAGCAUAAACUCAAGUGUUUUCAAAGGGGCUUAUGGAUAACAAAAGAUACUACUAUCAUUCAUAAAAUUCAAGUUUUAGCUGAGGAAUAGAAACCAGGGGCAAAGUCCACAUUUAUUCAUAUUAUACUGCAUUUACCUUCCCCAUCUCCAAGACUAAGAGGCCAGGAGUCCAGCUACUUAGACUAGCAGACCACCAGCUAGAGUGGAUGCUAAGGAGUGCACACAUACACACGCACACUUACAAACAUACACACUGACAUAUUCACACAGGGCACACACAUAUAUGUACACUCUCACAGGACAAGUAUGCACACACAGCUGCACACAUGAACAAUGACAUACAUGAAUAUGACACAUUCAUAGGACUGACUAUAUAGACAUGCACGUGCAUAUGCCGAUAGGCAUAUAUGGAGGUGCACUGUGACUCACAGUUGUGCAUGCAUGCACACAAGCAUGCACAUGUACUCACAUGGGCAUAUAAGCACAUCCCACACACAUUCACUUACACACAUGCACACACCCAACACACACACUUGAGGCUUCAGGCUGCUCUGUUGUCAGUCCUGGUCCUGCCUUGCGUUCGGUUUUCACCAGAUUCUCCCUUUAUAAGGAUGUCUAAAGUAGGUGUGAGUAUCCAUUUGCUGUGAUUUGUCUCAGGCCAGGCAACUUCCUAGGAAGGCCCCAGGUGGGGACAUAACAGUACACCAAAUUUGGUUCAUUUGCAUCAAAAGGGCAUUGCUGCCACACAAGUAUAAAGGGGAGGGGAUUGUGAAAGAGAAGUUCCAACCCUGGAAUGAUUUCUAGGUGAAAACAAUGUCUCUAGGGAUAGAGAAUGUUGGGGGGAAGGAAGGGUUUUAAUUUUGGCUAUCUCAGCUUGAAACAGGAGCUGCAAACACAGAAUGGAACUAUUAAUCUGCGAAUUUAAUUUAUGCUUAAAGAAUUCAACUAUAUAUGCUUUGGGGAGAGAAUGAGAUGGGGGUGUGCUGGGCGGGAGGGCGGAGAGAGAGAGCAAGCAAGACUGAUUAAAAUACUGAGGCAUUCUGUCCCUGAGUGAUCAUGAAAUGAAAGAUGUGAAAUCUGUUGCCUUUGUGAUGGUGCUGUGUUCCCAUGUGCCUUUCAAAGUGUGAGUUUCUCGCAGCCCUGAGUGUGAUUCUGCUGUUAACAGAGAUACCUCUUUAUACAAUCUGUCCCCAAACACAUGUCAUCUUCAUCUGGUGCUCAAACUGAGAAAGCAGCCCACGCCUUCAAUGAAGGAGAAACAGCUGCCUGGACCACAUGUUCCUGAAAAUGGUCUCAGUCUCCAGUGUGGCAUCUUCCCAGGGAUUUUCAGAGAGCCAAGAACAUCAGAGGUGGGAUGAUGAUGCUUGUGGCUACGAGACAGGAUUUCAAGGAUCCUGAUGAAACGUCUGCUGGCCUGAAUCUGUCUGAAUGCUGAAAAGGACUUUGUGUUACUCUAACUAAAAGGAAAACACAAAAUGAUGAUAAUAUAGCCCUUUAUGCUUUUCAGAACCCUUUCACAUACAUGAUUUUAUUUAAGCUUUGUGACAAUGGUGUGCAGCAGAUAGGGCUAAGAGCACAGUCAAUCUCAUUUUAGAGAUGAAGAAAUGGAGGUCUGAGAGUUUCAUGCCUUCCCCAAGGUCCAAGAAGUUAUUCCCAUGGCUGCAACUGGGUUUGUAGACAUGCUGCCAGCACCUUCCCCAAACCCAAGGGAGUGCUCUACCUACCUGUUG